AGGCCAGCCUGGCUGGACUCAGCGUCGAGCACGUGCACAGCUUCACGCCCUGGAUCCAGGCCCAGGGGGGCUGGGAGGGCAUCCUGGCCACCUCCCCCGUGGACUUGAACUUGCCCCUGGACUAGCUCUUCCCCAGCAGCUGGAAGAGGUUGGCCUUCAGGCGCCGGGCCCCUUGCGUGCUUCUCGAGCCUUCCUGUUCUCAGGGCCGUGAGUGGUGGCUGCCCACCCUGCUUUUGCCAAAAAGAAAUGGUUCACAUUUUUUUCAUAUUAAAGACUUGUUCAAAGGUUGAA